rnacentral:lncRNA from 1 species
ACUAAGUGAUAGAACACCCACCUACUAAGUGAUAGAACACCCACCUACUAAGUGAUAGAACACCCACCUACUAAGUGAUUGAUAGAACACCCACCUACUAAGUGAUUGAUAGAACACCCACCUACUAAGUGAUUGAUAGAACACCCACCUACUAAGUGAUUGAUAGAACACCCACCUACUAAGUGAUUGAUAGAACACCCACCUACUAAGUGAUAGAACACCCACCUACUAAGUGAUAGAACACUCACCUACUAAGUGAUUGAUAGGACACCCACCUACUAAGUGAUAGGACAUCCACCUACUAUGUGAUAGAAUAUACACCUACUAAGUGAUAGAACACCCACCUACUAAGUGAUAGAACAUCAACCUUCUAAGUGAUAGGACAUCCACCUACUAUGUGAUAGAACAUCCACCUACUAAGUGAUAGAACAUCCACCUACUAAGUGAUAGGACAUCCACCUAAGUGAUAGAACAUCCACCUACUAUGUGAUAGGACAUCUACCUACUA